UACGUAGGGCGCAAGCGUUGUCCGGAAUUAUUGGGCGUAAAGAGCUCGUAGGCGGUUUGUCACGUCUGUCGUGAAAGCCCACGGCUUAACCGUGGGUCUGCGGUGGAUACGGGCAGACUAGAGGCAGGUAGGGGAGAAUGGAAUUCCCGGUGUAGCGGUGAAAUGCGCAGAUAUCGGGAGGAACACCGGUGGCGAAGGCGGUUCUCUGGGCCUGUACUGACGCUGAGGAGCGAAAGCGUGGGGAGCGAACAGG
rnacentral:rRNA from 1 species